rnacentral:rRNA from 1 species
GACGAACGCUGGCGGCGUGCUUAACACAUGCAAGUCGAACGGAAAGGCCCCUUUGGGGGUACUCGAGUGGCGAACGGGUGAGUAACACGUGAGUAACCUGCCCUUGACUUCGGGAUAACUUCAGGAAACUGGGGCUAAUACCGGAUAGGAAUCCUUGCUGCAUGGUGGGGGUUGGAAAGCUUCGGCGGUUUUGGAUGGACUCGCGGCUUAUCAGCUUGUUGGUGGGGUAGUGGCUUACCAAGGCUUUGACGGGUAGCCGGCCUGGGAGGGCGACCGGCCACAUUGGGACUGAGAUACGGCCCAGACUCCUACGGGAGGCAGCAGUGGGGAAUAUUGCACAAUGGGCGGGAGCCUGAUGCAGCAACGCCGCGUGCGGGAUGACGGCCUUCGGGUUGGAAACCGCUUUCAGCAGGGGCGAAGCUUGUGGUGACGGUACCUGCAGAAGAAGCACCGGCUAACUACGUG